UUCUCACCUGCAAGCAGAAGCCCCAGGAGAAAGUCCAGAGUCACCCGAGGGUGCGGCCCCAGGGAGCUUCACGCAGCCAGCUCUGCAGCCAGCACCUAAGGAGGAACCCUGACAGCCCUCUGAGAACAAGCCCGGGCCAGACUGCUGGGGGAUGUGUUGUCAUCGGGCAGCCAACCUCCAGCCUCCAGAACAGGCCCAUCGGAGAUCAGCACAGCCUGGAUCAGGCCAGCAGCACUGCCUGGGUGGCCCCGGCUCGUGAGCAAGUGUAGAUGCUUAUUGCUUUUGUCCACCGCGUCUCCAGGCUGCUGGGUUUGCAGCAGCAGCUGACCCAUCCACCACGGCCACCACGAGAGGUCACACAGGUACCACUUGAAGCUGCGACACUUCAGCCUCUGACGCAGGGCCAGCCUCUCAGACACGUCCCCGAAGUCCACCCCUGGGUUCUGCAAGGCCAGAAGUAGAGGGUCUGAGGCAGCUGCUCCUGAUGGGAAGGACCCUGCCAGAGGCCAGCCCCGGCCUGGACAGACGGCCCCUGCUGCAGCCGGCUCGUCCACACCCACCCGGGCCCAGGAACCUCCUGCCUGAGAAGACGGCCCUGCUCACCUGGCCUUACUGCACGGCAUCAGCCUGACCUCUGGAGGGUGGAGACUGAGGUCAGCCAUAUCCAGAGACCAGCCUGGCCUGAGUAGGACAGAAAGGCCGAGGCAGGGAGUGUUCACACACUCUGCUCGAUUCGGGCUGGGACGUGGGUCCUCCCCUGCCUUCAGGCUUGGAGCUCACGCCACCGGCUCUCCUGGGCGCCUGCCAGCCGACGGCCAAUCUCGGUACCCUCAGCCCCCGUAACCGGGACAGAUCCAGAGUCCGGGGCAGGAGGGAGCCGCUCCCUCCUCGCCGAGAUGACCACACAGCACGCAGCUAACGCCAGGCUCCCUGACCCCGGUCCGGCAACCCAGAGCCUCCUCGCUGCUCAGCUCAGCCCAGCCGGGGACACCCCCGCCCCACAGUCCCACGUCACCCACAGGGGUCCGGCUCCUUCCCCGGGAUGGUGGAGUCCGCGGCGCCGCCGUGCCAGGCUGAAGUUGGCCUUUGCAUCCCGAGGGAGCGAACCGCGUUUCUGCAUCAGGUUCACAUCGUGGCAGGUGGUUUCUGGGUUUCUGUCUGUUGUCUCUGCUGUGGGACAACCUGCCUGAGAAAAGCCUGGGGUUUUCCAGCCCCCUGAGCCGGGGCUUCCUUUCUGCCUUCCAGACUAGGGUCGGGAUUUCUGUUCGCAGCGGGAAGGGGCCCCGCUGGUGAAUCCCGCCCACCGCCCUCCCACUCCGCGGAUGUCUCCCACCCUCAACCUGAGACCACCCAGGUUUCGUGAGAAGGAGGGGGGAAGCACCUCGGAGCCCUGCCCUUCGCUGGAAGGGGCCGGAACGAAGGAAGCUCUGCAGGGGCGGGACAGAGCCUCGUCCUCCAUCGUCUGCCCACCCGUCUUCAGAAGCGCCUGGCACACUGGCCUCUGGGACGACCUCCAGCAGUUUCAGCCUCCUUGUCUACCCCCAGUACAGAGGCCACGGUGACUCGGUCCCCCCACCCACCACAGAAUCCUGUCCUCGGGCCUCACGCUGGGGAACACGAAGCCCCCCAGGGCUCCUGACGCCUGCCUUGCCCACCCCCUGGGUUCGAAGCACCUUGGCCUUCCCAGCACCCCCACGUGCACCCCUCAGGGCCUUGGCACAGGUGGUGCCCACGCCGGGCGCCCUUCCCAGGUCUCUGCAUGCUCCACUGCCUCCAGCCUUCAAAGCUCUAGUGCCAGAGAGAUUAGUUAAAGGCACAAAACCAGCCGGGCACAGGGGCCUCACACUUGUAAUUCCAGCACUUUGGGAGGCCGAGGUGGGUGGAUCACUUGAGGCCAGGAGUUCGAGACCGCCUGGCCAACAUGAUGAAACCCCAUGUCUACUAAAAAUACAAAAAUUAGCUGGGCAUGGUGGCAGAUGCCUGUAGUCCCAGCUACUCAGGAGGCUGAAACAUGAGAAUCUCUUGAACCCGGGAGGCAGAGGUGACAGUGAGCUGAGAUCACACCACUGCACUGCAGCCUGGGCGACAGAGCGAGACUCCGUCUCAAAAAAAAAAAAAAAGGACCAAAACCACAGGCAGAGAGGAGCCAGUGCUGGUGCCGCUGAGGGAGGACCGUGGACCUGACCGUGACCCAGCCGGCAACUGGGAGGAGGAGCCGAGCCCCCACACAAGGAAAUGGCAAAUGUGGAGAUGGCGGCUGACCUGAGUGCGGCACGCCAUACCCCGUGAACGGGGACAAUCCUAUUUGUCCAUUAAAAAAACCAGCGAGCCUGGGCAACAUAGUGAGACACCACCUCCACAGAAAAAAACAAAAUUAGCCAGGUGUGGUGGUGCAUGCCUGCGGUCCCAGCUGCUUGGGAGGCUGAGGCGGGAGGAUCACCUGAGCCCGGGAGGUUGAGGCUGCAGUGAGCCAAGAUCACGUAACGCUCUCCAACCUGGGUUAAAGAGUGAGACCCUGUCUGAAAACAUAAAAAGUAAAAAUAAACCCCAAAUGUCACCA